UAAUUUAUUGUUUUUCAAUUAAAGCACUUAGGAGCCUUUUGGAUCAAAUUAUGAUUUAUCAAACAAGGGAUUAGGCUACUUAUGAAGCUACCAAAGAAAAGACUAAAGGCUCAAUGGUGCUUAACUGGGAUAAUGCAUAAGGGUAGGUAAAAGAAGAUAUAAAACAAGGGUAUCAAAGAAAUACCUAAAUCAUUUCCUAAAUCCACAUUCUUUAUUUUGCUUCACACACACACCGGACAAGUUCUAGACAUCACAUGCAACAAGGAAUAUACAAAAACCUCAUAUCACACACGGCACAUGCUCAACUCAUAUAAGAUCAUCAUAGACUCCCAAUCAACAAUAUCAU
rnacentral:lncRNA from 1 species